GUGGGGAAUCUUAGACAAUGGGGGAAACCCUGAUCUAGCCAUGCCGCGUGAGCGAUGAAGGCCUUAGGGUUGUAAAGCUCUUUCAGCUGGGAAGAUAAUGACGGUACCAGCAGAAGAAGCCCCGGCUAACUCCGUGCCAGCAGCCGCGGUAAUACGGAGGGGGCUAGCGUUGUUCGGAAUUACUGGGCGUAAAGCGCACGUAGGCGGAUCAGAAAGUCAGAGGUGAAAUCCCAGGGCUCAACCUUGGAACUGCCUUUGAAACUCCUGGUCUUGAGGUCGAGAGAGGUGAGUGGAAGUCCGAGUGUAGAGGUGAAAUUCGUAGAUAUUCGGAGGAACACCAGUGGCGAAGGCGGCUCACUGGCUCGAUACUGACGCUGAGGUGCGAAAGCGUGGGGAGCAAACAGGAUUAGAUACCCGUGUAGUCC
rnacentral:rRNA from 1 species